rnacentral:rRNA from 1 species
CUUAAGCAUAUCAAUAAGCGGAGGAAAAGAAACCAACAGGGAUUGCCCUAGUAACGGCGAGUGAAGCGGCAACAGCUCAAAUUUGAAAUCUGGCCUUCGGGUCCGAGUUGUAAUUUGUAGAGGAUGCUUUUGGUGCGGUACUUUCCGAGUUUCCCUGGAACGGGACGCCUUAGAGGGUGAGAGCCCCGUACGGUUGGAUACCUAGCCUUUGUAAAGCUCCUUCGACGAGUCGAGUAGUUUGGGAAUGCUGCUCUAAAUGGGAGGUAAAUUUCUUCUAAAGCUAAAUACUGGCCAGAGACCGAUAGCGCACAAGUAGAGUGAUCGAAAGAUGAAAAGCACUUUGAAAAGAGGGUUAAAUAGCACGUGAAAUUGUUGAAAGGGAAGCGUUUAUGACCAGACUUUUUCUAGGCAGAUCAUCCGGUGUUCUCACCGGUGCACUUUGCCUAGUUGAGGCCAGCAUCGGUUUCUAUAGAGGGAUAAAAACAGUGGGAAUGUGGCUCCUCCGGGAGUGUUAUAGCCCAUUGUAUAAUACCUUUACGGGGACCGAGGUUCGCGCUCUGCAAGGAUGCUGGCGUAAUGGUCAUCAACGACCCGUCUUGAAACACGGACCAAGGAGUCGAACAUUUGUGCGAGUGUUUGGGUGUUAAACCCUCACGCGUAAUGAAAGUGAACGGAGGUGAGAGCCCUUUAGGGUGCAUCAUCGACCGAUCCUGAAGUUUUCGGAUGGAUUUGAGUAAGAGCAUAACUGUUCGGACCCGAAAGAUGGUGAACUAUGCGUGGAUAGGGUGAAGCCAGAGGAAACUCUGGUGGAGGCUCGCAGCGGUUCUGACGUGCAAAUCGAUCGUCAAAUCUGCGCAUGGGGCGAAAGACUAAUCGAACCAUCUAGUAG